CUUCCUUCAAGUUUUUCUUAUGCACUUCCCUGUCCUACCUAGUUUCUUUAAUGGAUUAUAAACUUUUGCUUCAUCUCACUAUACCUGCACAUGCCCAUGACCAACCUCAUGUUGGUGCCACUGUAUGAAAUAGUGUUUGACUUGUAAACAAAUAUGCAAAUGGGUUCUUUCCCCUUAAGCAUCCUUUGCGCCUCUUCUUUCCACUAAUUCAUUUUAGGAUAUUGAUCUAUCUCUUUUGAGUCCAGAGUUGUAGGGCUUGAUCUUCCAAGGCUUUGGGAACAUCUUGUGCGUGUGCUCCAGAUUCCAAAGUCAUGAAGAGACAGCCAUUGCUCUGGAAUGAACAAGUUGCUUAAGUCAAAAUGCCACCUUUUACUCUUUUUUUUUCCCCACAUGAGUUAUGCCUGAAGUGCAUGACUUGAUCUUUAUUUUUAAUACUAUGGCCUUGGUACAGGUUGAACUUCAAAAACUAUCAUUAUGUCCUGGUCUUUGUUUUUGCCAUCGAGGAGAUCAACAGGAGCCCCCAGCUGCUCCCCACCCUGUCUCUGGGUUUCCAUGUCUACAAUUCCUUCCACAGUGAUGUCAGCACCUUGGUGAGCACCCUGAGGUGGUUAUCGGGAUGGGGUCAGAUGAUCCCUAAUUACACCUGCCAGGCACAGAACAAGAAUGUGGCUGUCACUGCAGGAACCACACCAGCAUUCUCUGCCCACAUUGGGACACUGUUGGAGCUCUACAAAAUACCACAGAGAACUCAAUAUGGAACACUUUUUCUCUUUUGAUUCAGACAACCUAUGGAGAUUUUGAUCCUGUACUGAAAGGAACUGAAUGUGGAAAUUUUUGGAGUGUCCAUUCAAUGCCUCCCUGGAGUCUCUGCCAAAGGAAACAUUAGACACGACUCUGUCUGGAUCCAGCUACUACAUCUAUGAUGCUGUGGAUGUGGUGGCCUGAGCCCUCCAUGAAAUACUUUUUAUAAAAGCAGAACAGGGGUCCAUAAUGGAUGCAGGCCAGCUCAUGUUUCUCCCUUAGCAGGUUGCAAGUAAACCUCUAAUGAUUGUAGGGUCUAAUUAGCAACAGUGUCAACUCUUUUAACUAGAAAUAAUUGAUUAAAAACUUUCACUGUGAGAGGUAGGAAGAAGCAGGCUGUCUUUCUUUGUCUCUUCUUGAGCUCGAGGAAACUCCCUAGCACCCCUAAAGCAAACCUCAUUGCUCAAGCUCCACCCAUUCCUAAGAAACACCCAAUUUAAAAAAAGCACUGGAGCUCACGUGUCACUGGAUGAGAAAAGAAACUCUGUGUCACAGCAUGUAAUUCUGAACUAUAUGAUUUUCCUAAAGGUCUUGGACUUCAGGUGAAAGACGUUCUGUCAGCCAGGAUUCAGGAACAUCCCUCAGGAAGAGAGAGCUACCUGCUGCUUUGUCUGUGUAUUGUGCCCAGAGAGAGAAAUAUGUAAUCAGACAGAAAAGAAAAGUGUCUGGGGGGCUCAAGUUUGAGUUGAAACCAGGCUCAGGGUCCACCUGUCCUCGCUGAUCCGUGGAUUUCUGUGUGACCAGCUGACACCUAUGGAGCUGUGGCCCUGACUACUACCAGCUUGCUCAUCCCUCUACUCACACAGUCACCCCUCCCCUCACUCUCAUUUAUGCUUCACCUGUGAAUGGUGGUCCUGGGACAGCCACUGCUGGAGCCCGGGUGAGCCUGGGGGCUCCUCCCACUCUGUCCCUCCCUG